rnacentral:ncRNA from 1 species
ACGAAGCAUCUUGAGCAGGGCUGACGCCCUCGCCAACCUGCCAGACCCGGCAAGGUGGUUUCCGAAAGGGGAUGCGGCCAAGGCAACCAAAGGGUCCAAA